rnacentral:rRNA from 1 species
UACAGAGGGGGCAAGCGUUGUUCGGAAUUACUGGGCGUAAAGGGCGCGUAGGCGGCCUUCUAAGUCAGACGUGAAAUCCCUCGGCUCAACCGGGGAACUGCGUCUGAGACUGGAGGGCUUGAAUCCGGGAGAGGGAUGCGGAAUUCCAGGUGUAGCGGUGAAAUGCGUAGAUAUCUGGAGGAACACCGGUGGCGAAGGCGGCAUCCUGGACCAACACUGACACUGAGGAGCGAAAGCCAGGGGAGCAAACGGG